rnacentral:rRNA from 1 species
AUUGAACGCUGGCGGCAGGCUUAACACAUGCAAGUCGAACGAGUGGCGGACGGGUGAGUAAUGCUUGGGAAUCUGGCUUAUGGAGGGGGAUAACGACGGGAAACUGUCGCUAAUACCGCGUACCAUAGGAUGAGCCCAAGUGGGAUUAGGUAGUUGGUGGGGUAAUGGCCUACCAAGCCGACGAUCCCUAGCUUGUCUGAGAGGAUGACCGGGCAACCCGGGAAUGAUAAACGGCCCGGACUCCCAAGGUAGGCAGCAGUGGGGAAUAUUGGGCAAUGGGGGCAAACGGACGCAGCCAUGCCGCGUGAAGGAAGAAGGGCUUCGGGGUGGAAAGUACGUUCGGGGAGGAGGCGUUACUCGCAGAAGAAGCACCGGCUAACUCCGUGCCAGCAGCCGCGGUAAUUC